rnacentral:rRNA from 1 species
AACCGUUGGAAACGACGGCUAAUACCCGAUAUACUCGGUGAUUCGGUUCAUCGAGUAAAGGCUCCGGUGCUUCGUGAUGGGCCUGCGGCCUAUCAGCUAGUAGGUGGGGUAAUGGCCCACCAAGGCGAAGACGGGUAGGGGGCGUGAGAGCGCGGCCCCCCACACUGGCACUGAGAUACGGGCCAGACUUCUACGGAAGGCAGCAGUCGGGGAUAUUGCACAAUCGGCGAAAGCCGGAUGCAGCGACGCCGCGUGGGCAAUGAAAGGCCUUCGGGUUGUAACGCCCUUUUAUGGGGGAAGAGACAAGGACGGUACCCCAAGAAUAAGCGUCGGCUAACUACGUGCCAGCAGCCGCGGUAAAACGUAGGACGCAAGCGUUAUCCGGAAUUAACUGGGCGUAAAGGAGCGUUGAGACGGUUCCGUAAAUUGGGGCGUGAAAGCACCCGGCUAAACCCCGGGGAGGUCGUUCAAUACUGCGGGACUUGAGGGCAGCAGAGGGAGGCCGGACUUCCCGGUGUAGCGGUGAAAUUGCGUAGACUCUCGGGAGGACCACCAGUGGCGAAGGCGGCCUCCUGGGCUGUUUCUGACCGCUGAAGGCGAAAGCUAGGGGAGCGAACGGGAUUAGAAACCCCGGUAGUCCUUAGCCGUAAACGAUUGGAUGCUGGGUUUGGGGGGUAUAGAUCCCCUCCGUGCCGAAGCUAACGCGUUAAGCAUCCCGCCUGGGGAUUACGGCCGCAAGGCUUAAACUCAAACGAAUUGACGGGGGCCCGCACAAGCAGCGGAGCGUGUGGUUUAAUUCGAUGCUACACGAAGAACCUUACCUGGGCUUGACAUGUAGGUAGUAGUGAAGCGAAAGCGGAACGACCCUUCGGGGAGCCUACACAGGUGCUGCAUGGCUGUCGUCAGUUCGUGCCGUGAGGUGUCGGGUUAAGUCCCGUAACGAACGCAACCCUUGCCCUUAGUUACAUGUGUCUAAGGGGACUGCCCGGGACAACUGGGAGGAAGGUGGGGAUGACGUCAAGUCAGCAUGGCCUUUAUGUCCAGGGCUACACACACGCUACAAUGGCCGGUACAAUGGGUCGCCAAGCCGUGAGGCGGAGCCAAUCCCCCAAAGCCGGUCUAAGUUCGGAUUGUGGGCUGCAACUCGCCCAUAUGAAGCUGGAGUUGCUAGUAACCGCGCGUCAGCAAUAGUGCGGUGAAUACGUUCCCGGGCCUUGUACACACCGCCCGUCACGUCAUGGAAGCUGGCAACACCUGAAGCCAGUGAGCUAACCCGCAAGGGGGCAGCUGUCGAAGGUGGG